UUCUUUGUGGCCUAAAAGAAAAGAGCAAAUGAACAAAGUUGCAAGUUGGCAAAGCAAGGGCAAACAACCACAAAGCUAAUUUGUGGCCGUCCAUUACAAGAAGAUUUGAAAGUGUUUUGUCAAGUUUACAAGUUGGUCGAAUAUCAUUUUUAUCCAGAUAUUUUGUAGAAUUCAUUGUUUUUAGAAUUUUGUCACUUUAACAGAAAAAUUGUAACAAAUGCGGUGGCAUAAUCCUAAUUAGCAACAUAUGUGUUAAUGGGGAUGUUGUC
rnacentral:lncRNA from 1 species